rnacentral:rRNA from 1 species
GGACGAAAGUCUGAUGGAGCAACGCCGCGUGAGCGAAGAAGGCCUUCGGGUCGUAAAGCUCUGUUGUUAGGGAAGAACAAGUAUCGGAGUAACUGCCGGUACCUUGACGGUACCUAACCAGAAAGCCACGGCUAACUACGUGCCAGCAGCCGCGGUAAUACGUAGGUGGCAAGCGUUGUCCGGAAUUAUUGGGCGUAAAGCGCGCGCAGGCGGUCCUUUAAGUCUGAUGUGAAAGCCCACGGCUCAACCGUGGAGGGUCAUUGGAAACUGGGGGACUUGAGUGCAGAAGGGGAAAGCGGAAUUCCACGUGUAGCGGUGAAAUGCGUAGAGAUGUGGAGGAACACCAGUGGCGAAGGCGGCUUUCUGGUCUGUAACUGACGCUGAGGCGCGAAAGCGUGGGGAGCAAACAGGAUUAGAUACCCUGGUAGUCCACGCCGUAAACGAUGAGUGCUAAGUGUUAGGGGGUUUCCGCCCCUUAGUGCUGCAGCUAACGCAUUAAGCACUCCGCCUGGGGAGUACG